rnacentral:tRNA from 1 species
GGUUAGGUGGCUGAGAAUUUAGGCGGUAGAUUGUAAAUUUAAGGACGAAGUUAAACUUCUCUAAUCA